AUUGAACGCUGGCGGCAGGCCUAACACAUGCAAGUCGAGCGGAUGAAGGGAGCUUGCUCCUGGAUUCAGCGGCGGACGGGUGAGUAAUGCCUAGGAAUCUGCCUGGUAGUGGGGGAUAACGUCCGGAAACGGGCGCUAAUACCGCAUACGUCCUGAGGGAGAAAGUGGGGGAUCUUCGGACCUCACGCUAUCAGAUGAGCCUAGGUCGGAUUAGCUAGUUGGUGGGGUAAAGGCCUACCAAGGCGACGAUCCGUAACUGGUCUGAGAGGAUGAUCAGUCACACGGGAACUGAGACACGGUCCAGACUCCUAAGGGAGGCAGCAGUGGGGAAUAUUGGACAAUGGGCGAAAGCCUGAUCCAGCCAUGCCGCGUGUGUGAAGAAGGUCUUCGGAUUGUAAAGCACUUUAAGUUGGGAGGAAGGGCAGUAAGUUAAUAACUUGCUGUUUUGACGGUACCAACAGAAUAAGCACCGGCUAACUUCGUG
rnacentral:rRNA from 1 species